rnacentral:rRNA from 1 species
CAUGAAGCCGGAAUUGCUAGUAAUGGCAGGUCAGCAUACUGCCGUGAAUACGUUCCCGGGCCUUGUACACACCGCCCGUCACACCAUGAGAGUUGGGGAUACCCGAAGCCUGUGAGCUAACUUUAUAAGGAGCAGCAGUCGAAGGUAGAAUCAAUGAUUGGGGUGAAGUCGUAACAAGGUACC